UGACGAUCUGAAUGUGUGACUACUCCAAACUUAAGCUAGCGCUGACACCCAUCAACCUUUGUGUGGCUCAUGAUAUAAGGUGCUGCUGGAGAAUGGAUUGGUGCAGAGCUCUGUUCUCAGCAUGAAUCAAUGUAGGCCUCAAUAAGAGCUUGAGUCAUAAAACUUGGUGACCAGAAAGCAGCAUGGUUUAAGUGGAACUGCUGGGACUUUUAUGAGUGCUAGCUUCUUGGAAGACCAACAAAUGGAAAACAAUGGCCUAUGCAGAGACCACCCAAACUGAGGGAGCCUGAUGUACUAGUGCUAUGUCAACCUGAUCACAGCUGACAGCGGUUCAGCCACUGAUAACCCCUGCUACUGAUUUUGGUGCUGAUGAAGUGAAGUUCUGCAUUAGAGGCCUUCUGAGUUCAUGAG